rnacentral:rRNA from 1 species
GACGAACGCUGGCGGCGUGCUUAACACAUGCAAGUCGAACGGAAAGGCCCUGCUUUUGUGGGGUGCUCGAGUGGCGAACGGGUGAGUAACACGUGAGUAACCUGCCCUUGACUUUGGGAUAACUUCAGGAAACUGGGGCUAAUACCGGAUAGGAGCUCCUGCUGCAUGGUGGGGGUUGGAAAGUUUCGGCGGUUGGGGAUGGACUCGCGGCUUAUCAGCUUGUUGGUGGGGUAGUGGCUUACCAAGGCUUUGACGGGUAGCCGGCCUGGGAGGGUGACCGGCCACCUUGGGACUGAGAUACGGACCAGACUCCUACGGGAGGCAGCAGUGGGGAAUAUUGCACAAUGGGCGGAAGCCUGAUGCAGCAACGCCGCGUGCGGGAUGACGGCCUUCGGGUUGUAAACCGCUUUCGCCUGUGACGAAGCGUGAGUGACGGUAAUGGGUAAAGAAGCACCGGCUAACUACGUG